UACGUAGGGUGCGAGCGUUGUUCGGAAUUACUGGGCGUAAAGGGCGCGUAGGCGGCCUUCUAAGUCGAACGUGAAAUCCCCGGGCUCAACCCGGGAACUGCGUCCGAUACUGGAAGGCUUGAAUCCGGGAGAGGGAUGCGGAAUUCCAGGUGUAGCGGUGAAAUGCGUAGAUAUCUGGAGGAACACCGGUGGCGAAGGCGGCAUCCUGGACCGGCAUUGACGCUGAGGCGCGAAAGCCAGGGGAGCAAACGGG
rnacentral:rRNA from 1 species